GGCUCAGGAUGAACGCUAGCGGCAGGCUUAACACAUGCAAGUCGAGGGGCAUCGGGAGUAGCAAUACUUGCCGGCGACCGGCGCAAGGGUGCGUAACGCGUGAGCAACAUGCCCGUAUCAGGGGGAUAAUCCAUGGAAACGUGGUCUAAUACCCCAUAGUAAUUAUGUAAGGCAUCUUAUAUAAUUUAAAGCUUUGGUGGAUACGGAUUGGCUCGCGUGACAUUAGCUAGAUGGUAAGGUAACGGCUUACCAUGGCUACGAUGUCUAGGGGUUCUGAGAGGAAGGCCCCCACACUGGAACUGAGACACGGUCCAGACUCCUACGGGAGGCAGCAGUGAGGAAUAUUGGACAAUGGAUGGAAAUCUGAUCCAGCCAUGCCGCGUGCAGGAAGACGGCCCUAUGGGUUGUAAACUGCUUUUGUAUGGGAGCAAUAAGGGCUACGCGUAGUCCGAUGAGAGUACCAUACGAAUAAGCACCGGCUAACUCCGUGCCAGCAGCCGC
rnacentral:rRNA from 1 species